GAACUGAAGAGUUUGAUCAUGGCUCAGAUUGAACGCUGGCGGCAGGCCUAACACAUGCAAGUCGAGCGGAUGAAGGGAGCUUGCUCCUGGAUUCAGCGGCGGACGGGUGAGUAAUGCCUAGGAAUCUGCCUGGUAGUGGGGGAUAACGUCCGGAAACGGGCGCUAAUACCGCAUACGUCCUGAGGGAGAAAGUGGGGGAUCUUCGGACCUCACGCUAUCAGAUGAGCCUAGGUCGGAUUAGCUAGUUGGUGGGGUAAAGGCCUACCAAGGCGACGAUCCGUAACUGGUCUGAGAGGAUGAUCAGUCACACUGGAACUGAGACACGGUCCAGACUCCUACGGGAGGCAGCAGUGGGGAAUAUUGGACAAUGGGCGAAAGCCUGAUCCAGCCAUGCCGCGUGUGUGAAGAAGGUCUUCGGAUUGUAAAGCACUUUAAGUUGGGAGGAAGGGCAGUAAGUUAAUACCUUGCUGUUUUGACGUUACCAACAGAAUAAGCACCGGCUAACUUCGUGCCAGCAGCCGCGGUAAUACGAAGGGUGCAAGCGUUAAUCGGAAUUACUGGGCGUAAAGCGCGCGUAGGUGGUUCAGCAAGUUGGAUGUGAAAUCCCCGGGCUCAACCUGGGAACUGCAUCCAAAACUACUGAGCUAGAGUACGGUAGAGGGUGGUGGAAUUUCCUGUGUAGCGGUGAAAUGCGUAGAUAUAGGAAG
rnacentral:rRNA from 1 species